rnacentral:lncRNA from 1 species
AAUAUUAUUACGGAAAAUGCUUUUUUUACACUUAAAAAAUACGAGGUGUAGAUCUUGCACGCUUCAUCCAUUGAUUGAUAAAAGAAAAUAAAUAAAUGUGACGAUUAUAGUAUUAAUAGCUUUGGAAUGAAAUGCAUGUAAAAUAUGCAUCCCACUUUGAGGUGUACAACUACCAUUGCUCUAUUAUUAUACGUACAGAUUAAUUUACGAUGGUUCCUUCACCUGUUGGUUUUUUGAAAGUAGCCCCUAACUUUAAUUUUGUUGAUCGACAACUCUUUAAUUAGCUCUAGGUUAUUUCUGGAACUUAAUUAUUCUGGUUAUUUUGGUUGAAAUAAUUUAAUUAUGGUUCAUUAGCUGAUAAAUUUUUAUUGUUUUGAAUUUUAUUUACUGAAAAUUAAUUAAAAUUAAAAAAUUUGGUGAAUUUAUUGAGGAAUUUUUUAAUUAGGAUUACUUAAAUUUAUACAAUUAAAAGAUAAAGUAGUUUCAAUCAAAAACUCAAAAGUUGAGGGGUUCCUAGCUAGCUAGCAUAUAUAAUAACAUUUAGGGUGUGUUUGGUUCCACGUAAAAUUGUGGAAAAAAAAUUUUCUGUGAAAAAAAGUUUUCGGUAGAAAAAAUAUUUUACGUUGUUUAUGUUUGGUUUGUAGGAAAAGAAAAGUAAUUUUUCGAGGCGAUUGUUUGGUUGAAAGGAAAAAAAAUUAUAAAUAAAAAUUAUUAUAUAUAUUUUUUAUUUUACAUAUUUUAUAUUAUUAAUAUAUAAUUAUUAUCAUAUUCUAUAUAUUAGUAUUAUAGUUUAUAUUUAUAAAUAAAAUAUAUUUAAAAUAUAUUAU